UACGAAGGGGGCUAGCGUUGCUCGGAUUCACUGGGCGUAAAGCGCACGUAGGCGGAUCUUUAAGUCAGGGGUGAAAUCCCAAGGCUCAACCUUGGAACUGCCUUUGAUACUGGGGAUCUCGAGUCCGGAAGAGGUGAGUGGAACUGCGAGUGUAGAGGUGAAAUUCGUAGAUAUUCGCAAGAACACCAGUGGCGAAGGCGGCUCACUGGUCCGGUACUGACGCUGAGGUGCGAAAGCGUGGGGAGCAAACAGG
rnacentral:rRNA from 1 species